rnacentral:rRNA from 1 species
CCUACGGGUGGCUGCAGUAAGGAAUAUUGGUCAAUGGAGGAAACUCUGAACCAGCCAUCCCGCGUGAAGGAUGAAGGGGCUCUGCCUUGUAAACUUCUUUUGUCUGGGGCGAAAAAGCUCGAUUUAUCGAGAACUGACGGUACCAGAAGAAUAAGCACCGGCUAACUCCGUGCCAGCAGCCGCGGUAAUACGGAGGGUGCCGGCGUCAUCCGGAAUCACUGGGUCUUAGGCGUGCGUGGAAGGCAGUGGUGAAAGGCUGUGGCUUAACCAUGGAAUUGCCAUUGAGACUGCAGAGCUUGAGUGAGGUUGAGGUUGGCGGAAUGUGACAUGUAGCGGUGAAAUGCUUAGAUAUGUCAUGGAACACCGAUUGCGAAGGCAGCUGACUGGACCUAUAUUGACGCUGAGGCACGAAAGCGUGGGGAGCGAACAGGAUUAGAUACCCUUGUAGUC